rnacentral:lncRNA from 1 species
CACAGACCCCCGGAUGCAGCUGCGGCGGAAGGCGCGUCCUGUUGGCUACUCCCGGUUUUCCUCUGCGUUUCUCCGCCUCGGAGACGCCGCAGUAAUAACGGGCCCACCAGCUACUGACGAGCUCACUCAGAGAUGCUUUACUUGCGCACACCUAACUAAUUGCCCUGCUGAAUUCAGAAAUUCAGAAGCUGGAUCCUGCCCUCUGGCCCUCUGGGACUGAGGAAUUGUACCUUAGGGGUGCACACCUUGGAGAAAGCACACACCUCCAGUUUGUUGGACAGCAGGAUCAAAAACCAACCCACCAACACCUUAAAAACAUAUGUAUUUAUUUUAUGGAGGCAUCCUCUGAUAAAGAAUGCUAAGACCUUACCAAAGAUUUCACAGGGACACAGAAGACAAGCAGGGAAUGAAGAUCCAGCCUGCAACCAUCUUAGGCUUAAAAGCCAUCUUAUCAUAAAGACAAAGGAGGUCCAUUCCUAUUUAUGAUUAAACUUCUGUUUUUCAAGGA